GACGAACGCUGGCGGCGUGCUUAACACAUGCAAGUCGAACGAUGAAGCCGGAGCUUGCUCCGGUGGAUUAGUGGCGAACGGGUGAGUAACACGUGAGCAAUCUGCCCUUGACUCUGGGAUAACUGCGGGAAACUGUAGCUAAUACCGGAUACGACACCUUGGGGCAUCCCAGGGUGUGGAAAGAAUUUCGGUCAAGGAUGAGCUCGCGGCCUAUCAGCUAGUUGGUGAGGUAAUGGCUCACCAAGGCGACGACGGGUAGCCGGCCUGAGAGGGGGACCGGCCAGACUGGGACUGAGACACGGCCCAGACUCCUACGGGAGGCAGCAGUGGGGAAUAUUGCACAAUGGGCGCAAGCCUGAUGCAGCGACGCCGCGUGAGGGAUGAAGGUCUUCGGAUUGUAAACCUCUUUCAGUAGGGACGAAGCGAAAGUGACGGUACCUAAAGAAGAAGCACCGGCUAACUACGUGCCAGCAGCCGCCGCAG
rnacentral:rRNA from 1 species